AACGAACGCUGGCGGCAUGCCUAACACAUGCAAGUCGAACGAGACCUUCGGGUCUAGUGGCGCACGGGUGCGUAACGCGUGGGAACCUGCACUUAGGUUCGGAAUAACUCCCCGAAAGGGGUGCUAAUACCGGAUAAUGUCUUAGGACCAAAGAUUUAUCGCCUUGGGAUGGGCCCGGGUUGGAUUCGCUGGUUGGUAGGGUAAAAGCCUACCAUGGCAGCGAUCCCUAGCUGGUGUGUGAGGAUGCUCAGCCACGCUGGGACUGAGACACGGCUCACUCCGCGAGGGAGGAGGGGGGAGGGGAAAAUAGGGGAAGGGGGAAAAGCGUAGACAAGCAAGGCCGGGGAUGAUGGCAAGGGCGUGGGAAUGAAAUUCUGCUUUUCCCGGAGUGAGAAUGACGGUACCGGGAAAAGAAGCCCCGGCUAACUCCGU
rnacentral:rRNA from 1 species